rnacentral:lncRNA from 1 species
GGGAACUGCACAGCAUUUAAACUGAGUGCAGAUGCUGGGUGUGAGGGGCUGGGGACGGGGAGAUGUUCCCCUGCUGGGGAGUCACAGCAGCGGGGGAGGAGGAAGGAGGGAGGAAGACCUCAGAAAUCAGCGCUCCUGUGCCAGCCAGCAGGGACGCCGGUGAUCCAAGCCAGUGCUGGUGACACUCAAUAAACUCAGUGGGCUCCAGCUGGAUGUUUACUACCUGCCGAGGGACAGUUGGAGAGUUUAGACCUGCUCACCUGUCUGCGGAUUAUCUGAGGACACAUCCCAUCCAAAGAGCGAUUUGAAGAGGACUUGUCCCUUGACAGUUAUCUAAUUAGGGCUCAGCUAUAAAUAUGCAACCAAAUGGUGGCUGAAAUUGCACGUCCCAUCAGAGCUUAAUGACAUAAUUUCAUUUGUGUUUCGUUACAAACAAGGGUCUGAGUUCUGACAGCGGCCGCCACUGGCAACAGAUCAGCAUUGUUGAUUAGAGGCCACUAGUUUGACAGAAAGCAGACGGGUGGUUGCCCUGAGACCAGGGCGAGGAGGGCGGAAGGACAGAGGGGCCCGGAAACCAUGGGGUCCUAGAGGCUGCUUAUCUGGCCUGUGGUCCAGGCCCCCGGUGCACACACACGUCUGACACAUCAGGGUGUGGGCCCUGUGCACUUCGAUUCUCACGUCACGAGGGCUGCGGCCUCUUCACUCCUGCUCCACACAUCCCAUGCUGUGAACCACAAACUCCAGUGCCAUCUUCAUUUUCCACAGAUGGGAAGGACCCAUUGGUCCCCCAUUCCUAGCACCUGCUCACUUCUCUGUUUCUUCUUUCUCCUGUUCGGGCUUUGGCGUUUGGUGAUCAUAGGAGGGAAAGAAAUGACCCCUCUCACUAAAAGUGAAACAGAGAAACCCAAGAUUAAUAGAAAGAGAAGUGUGAUGCCGUGUGCAGAAUGCACUGAAGAGGAGAGAUCCUUGUGGACACAGGACCAGCUGGACUUUGAGGCUGUCUCCAGAGAAGAUCUCUAAGUUUCAUGUAAUAUGCACAGGCUCAUGACAGUGGCCUCACGAGUCCCCAUCUUCUGGAAGAGCACAUCAGAUCCUGUAGGACAAGGCUAGAAACAAUGGUAGAUGAAGACCCCAGCAAAGGAGAGGACUCUCCCUCUCUCUCUACUCAUCCACCUACCCAUCCAUCCAUCCAUCCACCCAUCCUUCCUUUCUUCCUUCUGUCCAUCCAUCUGUCCAUCAUCAACCUCCUUCCAGAAAAGAGGAGAAAUCUUGCAAAUAUACAAAUAAUACUUCAAGAUAGAUAUGUAAAGUUCAUAAUAAGAAAGAUACAGAAAAGGUAAAAUAAGUAUAGGAAAGUAAGCUGAAGCCAGUAGUGAGUCUGUCCCACAAAAUAUCUGCCUCUACAUCCUAAGCCCCUGCUAGGGAUGAGGCACAUCCUGGCUCUGGGCUUUCCAGCAGCCGAUGGGAAUAGGGAACAUGACGACAUGAUUGCUCCCUUGACUCUCAGUGUCUGUAAGGUAAAAAUAAACCCGUUGCCAAGGAAAAGCGUGGCUCCGAC